CCGCUCACGAAGGGGUCUAGAGCGAGGGAAAACGCAACGAUAAAAAAUCACAUAGCCCAAAGAAGAGCACAACCGAUCGUGUUCGCCAGCACCUCUUCUCUGAAAGCUACCAGAAACCGGUAAAUAAAAGGUGUCUAUUGAAGCUUUCGUCAGCUUUCGGUCCCUGCGCGCGCAGACAAGUACGCUUCCCCUUGAACGCUGCCACUCGCACAACUGCCAAAAUCAUUCCUCAUCCCUUUUCGACUAGCGCUUGUCUUCCCUGCCACCACGACCUCCUCUCUCGGAAGUGCUCACUGGCCGCCCUCACCCCUCUUCUUCUUUCCUGUUGUUGUUGUUCUCUGUUUCGGGUUUUCCGUCUUUGUACUUCUUUGACUCCAUCCCUGUUGUACUACACUGAUUGCGUGCUUGUGUGUGUGUGUGUGUGUGUUUGUUUGACGCUCCUCUCCAUCCCCCUUCACACCCUUCUCUUUCCCUUCUGCCUCUCUUUCUUUUUCUGUCUUUUUUUGUUGUUGUUGCUGUUGCCUUGUUCGCUUUUCAUGUAUAGAUCAGUGUGUCGGUGCACGGUUUGCACUUCCCUCUCUCCUCGGCGCGCCUUCCGCCGUCUUCGGCCUGCGCAGUUGAGUGUUGUGUGUGUGGGGGGAGGGGGGGCGGCUACUUUGCUUUUUCGUCAUUAUCACCAUUAUCACAGGAAAAGCGUAAUUCUCUCCACUCCCUCUUUCGCUGCCGGAGUGUCGGUGCUACGGUGCUCAGCUGUACACACGCGCACGGAAACUCGCAGAUCGCGCAUUCAGAGGAAGGAUACAUACACCGAGCGCGGCCGUCCGGCGUGGCCAUGCGACCCUCCACGAGCAUGGACACUCCCUUUAACUGCGACAGCACCGGCGUGCGGAUGUCAUCUGUAACCUCCACCAUUACCGCCCGUGCGAGCCGAUCACGGCAGCCGACACUUCCCUGGUUAGACCCCAGCGUUGUGCUGGAGGUGCACUCCUCCUCAGAGACUCUGCUAUCGACUCGCAGGAGCGCUUUCCAGUGUUCUCCGUCCUACGCCUCUGUUGCAGAGUCGCUAGAGACACCGCUCGUUAUGACGGCCACCACUGCAGUGCUGAGUGCCACAAUUAACGAGGAGUGUGACGACCUGGAGCUCAGCACGACCGCCUACGGCGAGGUCAUCCGAGCCGAUAAGCUGCGCACUAAUCUGCGCCGCGGCGGCGAGUACCGUUUUUCAUGCUGUGCAUUUUGGCACCGUCAGGGCAGCAACAGCAGCAGCGGCGGCGGGGCGGUUGACCAUCGCAUCCACGCGGCGCCACAUCCUUCACGGCUCUCCAGCGCACCGCAACAGCGACCUAAGCAGCAAACAGCGAGUACUGCGUCACCGACAGCGGCAACUACAUUGUUGCUCGGGGAAGUCGAAGCUGCCGCGGCAGUCGCUGAGUGUCACGCCUCCGGCUGGAGCGUGUCACCGCCGGAACCGAGGACGGAAGAUGUGCUCACCAUCCCAUGCCCGCCACCUCUCGGAGGCAAGCGCACCAGCAUGAAAGGCGGCGACGUUGAGCUGGCCUCCCAGCAGUUUUCGAGGCAGCUGCUCGAUCUGCCAUCUUUCCGCCCAACGCAAAUUGCCCUUUCCUUCUCCAUAGCUGCGGCAGAACGAGAACGGGUGUUUCCAGCCCCUCCAGCGGCUGCACCCCCGAGCGACCCCUGCAGCCCCGGGUCCCUUGCACUAAAACACAGCUCUCAACGCUUUACCAACCCCUUACAUCUUCAGCAGAAGCCGCAGCGACUGCUGCAGCACAACAGCGCCAGCUCCUUGGAGGGCUGUGACGUUGCGGCAGUCGCUCCCGCCUCUAGCGCUGCGACCCUCGCAAGCGGCAUGGGCACGCGCGCCGUCGCCAGCGAGUUGCAACCGCUGACGCCGCGACCCGAUCCGGGGCCGCCUGGCUCAGCAGGGCAGCGCCUUUCCAGCGCUGCCUCUAUAGGUCGCCGCUGCUUGCCACUCCUCUCGCCUCCCCUAGAACCGUUUCCACCUUCGUCGUGCACGUGCGCCACCAAUACGCACGCUCCGUCGACAUCGAGCCCAAUGUUGUCAUCCUCGCAGCCGGCGGAGGUGCACGACGCCGUCGCCAUCUCCUCUGCACGCAGCACGUGUGUCAGUGGAAGGCGCAACAGUGGCCUAAAUGUCACCGGCGCUUUCACCACAAGCUUGUCCCCGGUUGUCGGGCUGGCGGUCCCUGGCGCCGUGGAGGGGGUGUCGCCUCCACCACAGCCGCUAACGCAAGGCCUCCUCUCACCGACACUGCGCGCACUCCCGAAAGGGUGGCGAUCGCCGCCACCGGUGAGCGACCUUCACAACCCAGCGAGCAGCGCCGCUGGCAACUCUUCGCAGGGUGUGAAUUCAAGCGUGACAGCAACGCUCUUCGGUGUAGGGGUGACAGCCAGGCCCGCAUCGGCGGCAUCGGCGGGUUGUGCUGGCCCGGCUCUGGCUCCUAUUGGUGAACCAGCCACGGACGCUCAGCGCGAGAACACCUCUGCACGGCCUCUAGAGGCCAAUGUGUGUGCGCUGUUCAGUGGUAGUGCGUAUGCCGAUGUACGCGCAUCGGCCGAGCUUCACGUGCUCCGUGCCCUUCCAGUUGCGCGAACAUCUGUCGACCAGGCGGCCGUCAAGGCCGCCGUCGUCGCUGCGUCGACGCCGGCGGUGCCUUCACCGGGAACCCACGAGCGACGAUGUAAGGAGGCCCCGGGGUGCUCGAAAGAAGCCGCAGAUGCCGCUCUGCCAACAUCCGUGGUGCCAAAAGGCGGUGUCAAGGCAGUGGCAGCAACGUUGGGUGCGGGCUUCUCGGUGUGCUCGGCCUCCCUGUACAAUCUGUCGGCACGGCUAGCACCCAUUUCCCUCAAGCCGCAGCAGCCGUUCUGCAGCAACACCAAGUCAAGCAGCGGUACCACCGGCGACGAGCGCGACGGAGCUGCUUGCCGAAUCAGCGAUGUUGCUGGCACCGCUAAGGUCGCAUUCGGCGGCUUAUCAAGCCCUCUGAUGGUCGCCGGUGUGCCGCCAAAGGUGGCAGCGACCGUCAGCCGGUCACCUCAGCAGCCGUUCCGCUCCUCUCUUGAGUGGGAAAGGCAAGCCAGGGAAGCCGGCAAGAGCACUGCGAUGGCGCCGAAAUCCGAGGUCGCCGCAGCGCCGGGCCACCAAAGCGACGAUGAUGCGGUGGUCAUCGAGGAGGCCGUCGUGCCGGCUGCGGGCAUCAGCCCAACGCCGUCCCCGACGUCCUUGCCAGUGACGACGCCGCUGCAGGGCUCGCAGAGGGCGGUGUUUCGGUUCUACAGCGUGCUCCAAAGGGGCGAGGAUCGCAGAUGCGGUUCCCAUCUGCUCUCUGCCCACUCAUCAAUGGGCUCCUCCGCAGAGACGGGGGAGGGGUGGACAGCUGUGCCGAAGGAGGAAGAAGCGGCGGUGGAUGGGGGUCCUUGUGGUCAGGGCAGGGCUCAAGGAACUGAGUCACACGUCUCCGCAACGCUGCCGCCGCAGUCGGCGGGUGCGACGGCGACCAGUAGCGUGUCCAGUAAAGCGGAGAGGCUCAAGGCGGCUCACAAGAGCCGUUCCCGCCAGCGUGGAAACCGCGAGGAGUCGGUGGCUGGAUUUCUAAGGGAAAGCAGUGCCGCCAGCAUGCUAGCGAGUAACAGUAGCCGCGGGGAGCUGUGGAGAGGCCUGCAGCUGCCGCGCUCCUCCACGCUAGGCAACAUCUCUUUCACAAACACCGCAGGCUAGAGGUCGCACUCCAUCACCUCCCUGAUGCGCCGCCCCGGCCACGAGGCCAGAAUGCGUCACAUGAGCAGUGGCAUGUGCUUCGGAGCGUGCAUACCUUUGGUCGACUCUUUCCGCUCAUUUCUCGAGGACCACCAGUCAUCCUUCUAUCUAGGCAACACCACCAACGAUCGAAGCGCCUCUUCAGGAACGCAUUCAGCCUCCCCGAACUGUUCCGGCAUAUGCAUGAGGCGCGAGCGCGGCAAGCUCGGAAGCAGCACUCGGGGCCACAGUCAGCGGAAGCGCGAAAGCCGUGGCGUCGACUGGGCAGUCGCGAGCGCAGCUUCGCAUCAGCUUAGUGUAAUCCGCGGCCACGGUACCCCCGCUGGAGAGAGCUCGGAGCAACCGUAGCAGCUCGUCGCAUCAGGCACUGUCCUCGUGCAUUUUAAUCUUGUGAUUUGCCUUUGAGAACGCAGCGUCUCCCGGGCCAGCCGGGACGGCAAGACGUCAGCGGAGCAAUGUCGCCACUAAGGCGCACGGCUUUGGGCGGACGCGAGGCUGGCCCUCGCUGCCGACGAGUACAAGCGCAGUCACGUCGCCGCUCUCCAGCGAGGCGACGCUGUACCUCGAUGACUCUGCGGAGAGGCGCAAGUCACGAAAAAGUGCGUGUUGCGGCUCCAGCGAUGCAUCGCCGUUGCGGAUCUGGGUGCUAUCCCCUCUCUGACAGAAAGGCUUUCUGGCAAGAUGUGCCGCAGCAGUUAUUCCGCGCUAAGUCGCCCCAGCGGCAAGGCAAUCUCUGUCGCCCCGGCGCCGCGGCAAAGCAGCGCACCGUGGUCAUUCUGCGGCUCGACGGCUCUCUGCUUCCGCUGAGCUCGGUCAGCGAGCCAUAGAAACGUCACCAGCAGCAGCAGCAGGAACACCGAUCCAGCCAGCUUCAUCGGCGCAGCACGAAUCCUUCCGGCAGCUCAAGCAGCUGUCCGUAGCGCCCUUGAUCGCGGUGAGCAGUCGGUGCGUAGUGGAAUGGGGAUGCUGAGAGAGAGGGGAGGAGCCGUCGCUUGAAGCGCUGUAUGCGCACGGCAGCGUACGCCCUCUUCUCCAUAAAAACCUCGUGUGUGUGUGUGUGUGCUGAUCGCAGCACGGACAGACACACAGAGAGAAUGGAUGCCGUCCGUGCAACGUGCAUUGUGUGGGUGUACGUUCAGGGAGUGUCCGUCUGUCUCCAUCUUGUGGAUAUCUUACUUGUUCGCUGCCCUUUACUCGUUAGUGGAUGUGGCACAUCGUAGCGCAAUCCAUGUAUUGCUCUCCUCUUCGUUUUUUUUCUGUUUUUCCAUUCUCUAAAGUGUUCCCUUCGCAGAUUUUUACGAUGCUGAGCACCGCCUUUAGCGGCCAGCGAGCGUGUUUAUCGUCCAUACAUGUCUGCGCGCAUGCAUGUGAGUAUGAAUGGAUGGAUGUGGCUGAGGAAGGUUUCUCUUUUUUUUCUGCGGUGGGGAAGGGGUGGGUACAGCAAGGCUGCCAGAUGUACUGUGGCGGCGGCUGUGGCCAGGGUAAGAUUGUCACUGGUUCACUUUUUUGUUGCUGGGCUAGGGUUUCUUAUUGGAUGUAUAUAUUUAUUUGAGACACACACAUGCAUACGCACCCGUAUGCAUGUGUGUGUGUGUGUAUGUGUGUGUAUUGUGAUGUGAUGUUCAGCUCUUCCCAUAUGCUCUACGUUCUUUCUUCGCCCCACUCCGCCGCCCUUUUCCUCUCUUUUUGUAUGCGUCAUAGGAGCGCAUUGGACUUUGUGAUUUUGUGUGCUUUUCUGCCUUUCCUUUUACUUUUCGUUGCUACCGCUUCUACCGCUGCUCCCGCUGCUGCUAGUGCUGGUGGUAGUGAUCGGGUGUUCAUGCUGCUGCCCUCUCUGUACCCCAUCACACCCACCCACCCCCAUGCACACACAGGUAACACCCGCACAUACGUAUACAAACUCUCUCCUUUUCCAUACGAGGACAUGCAAUCUUUCGACCGCUUCUGUUUUUCUUUUUCUUUCCUGUUGCCAGUCGGGGGAGAGGGGGGGGCGUGAGCGGCGAUGGCGCUCCUAUGAAGUAUGGUGAAAGGAUCACGCGCACACCCACACUCGCUUCUCCUCCGCCGCUGCCUUUUCCCUUUCUCGCACGAGCCGCCACCCACGCCAAACCCCUCGCUGACCCAGAGCGCACACUGUGCGUGCACAAACACAGGCACACACACAAUUCGUUCAGCAUGGGCAGUUGUGGUAGUUUUUCUGCUCUUUUAUUGUUGUUUUCCUUUGCGUUUGACGCUUCUCCGUUGCGGAUGCGAAGGCGCACAUCGAUGGAAUAGAUCCAAGGACUUGAUGGGGAACGACAAGAACUAGAGCAAACAAAAAAGUGGAACUGAAGGAGCUCCGUAGUUGAUCCGUGUCCUGAGCAGUGGCAAUGGGGGUUCCCAGCAACCAACUGCUUGCACCCUCCACCAUGGAGCUCAUUGCUGCUCUCUCUCUCGUUGUGUUGUGAUGCACUGCCAAGCAGGCAGUCUUUUGGCGUUUGUUCGAUGGAGAGCACCCAAUGUUUGGAUUCGCUGCUGCUAUGGCCCUUGCUGCCUUCGGGGUUGUUUUUCGUUGAGAAGUCCGUCCCCCAUCUUUUUUGUUUCUGCCGCCUCUCAGACUCCCUCCACCCACUCGCCAACCCAUCUCGCGCUAUCACUUCGCUGAGCGACAUGUAUGUGGGCUCACUCUCUUGUCCAUGUAUAUAUGUGUGUUUGUGCUCUGUCCCCGUCAUUCCGCCUCGCACUCUUCUUUCUGUCUUGCACGAUUCAGUGUCUCUGCCCGCUUGUUUGCUCUGUGGGUAUGUGCGUGUGAUGUCUUGGUCGUAUGGCCACCAUCGCAGACGUCGUCGUGUUGCUAGCGCAUCACCCUUUUCUGCUUUCUUUUUCGGUCCCCAUGCACGCGAGCACACGGAGGCGCACGCUAAGCUCUCUCACCGCUUCUCCUUCCACCGCCCUCCUCCACAUCUGCCCCUUCAUCUCUUCAUGUUUCGUUGGGCUCCCACAUGGAAAUCAAGGGACAGGAGCCCCCAAGGGAAGCACCACUAGAGGCGUGGUAAUGAUGGUGGUGGUCGGGAAAGAAAAGGGGGGGCGCAACGCUUCAUGAAGUGAGGGAAGGAGGGGGCGGUCGAACUGCGCACGCACGGCUGCCUUCGUUCCUCCCCCUCCCCCUUCACUUCCUCUUACAACAAUAUAUAUAUAUAUAGCACGUGCUUCGUUUCGUGGUGAAAAGGUUGUGAACGCCAAAAAAAAAGACCAACCAGCCAACAAAUGCUUUGCUUUCUUUUUGUGAGUGUGUGUGCGUGUGUUCGUUUCCGUGCGUGUGCGUUUUUUUUCGUGUGUAUAUGCUUGACAGCACCUCUCCGUCUUGUUUGCGUGGAGCGUCUCCCUGCUCCUCCUCCUCCUAUCUUCAUCUAUUUCUGUCUCACGAUCUAUCAUCCGCCACCCAUCCGCCUCCUUUUUAUUGUUGUUAUUCCCCUUCGCUGCCUGGCCCGCUUGUGGUCUUUUUUGUUUGUCUGUUGUGUUUUCCGUUGUGUUUUGCUUUGUCUACUUGUGACGGUCACUUCCCGUUGCCCUCCUACGCGCGGCCCCUUGUCUCCCUCCCUCUUUCCACCUCACUCGUCUUCCGGCGGCAAAGCCGUGGGGAGGGGGGAGGGCGCGCAUGCACGACAUGGCACAGCAGCAACAAGAAACAGAAAAAUCCGACACAUGCAAGGAGGAAGGUGUGCCUUGGACCCUGAAUUCCGACGACUGGCACUCUCCCUUCUCUCUUCUGCCCCUCCUCCUCCUCUGUGUCCUAAG
rnacentral:misc_RNA from 1 species